GACGAACGCUGGCGGCGUGCUUAACACAUGCAAGUCGAACGGAAAGGCCUCUUUCGGGGGGUACUCGAGUGGCGAACGGGUGAGUAACACGUGAGUAACCUGCCCUUGACUUUGGGAUAACUUCAGGAAACUGGGGCUAAUACCGGCUAGGAGCUCCUGCUGCAUGUUGGGGGUUGGAAAGUUUCGGCGGUUGGGGAUGGACUCGCGGCUUAUCAGCUUGUUGGUGGGGUAGUGGCUUACCAAGGCUUUGACGGGUAGCCGGCCUGAGAGGGUGACCGGCCACAUUGGGAAGGAGAUACGGCCCAGACUCCUACGGGAGGCAGCAGUGGGGAAUAUUGCACAAGGGGUGGAAGCCUGAUGCAGCAACGCCGUGUGCGGGAUGACGGCCUUCGGGUUGUAAACCGCUUUCGCUCAUGACGAAGCUUUGUGUGACGGUAGUGGGUAAAGAAGCACCGGCUAACUACGUG
rnacentral:rRNA from 1 species